UGGGGAAUUUUGCACAAUGGGCGAAAGCCUGAUGCAGCGACGCCGCGUGAAGGAUGAAGGUCUUCGGAUUGUAAACUUCUGUUAAACGGGAAGAAAGCUUUGUAAAUAAUACGUGCAAAGGAUGACGGUACCGUUAGAGAAAGCUCCGGCUAACUUCGUGCCAGCAGCCGCGGUAAGACGAAGGGAGCAAGCGUUAUUCGGAAUUACUGGGCGUAAAGAGCGUGUAGGUGGUUAAUUAAGUCAGUUGUAAAAUCUCCCGGCCUAACCGGGAAACGGCAAUUGAUACUGAUUGGCUAGAGGACAAGAGAGAGAAGUGGAAUUCUCGGAGUAGCGGUAAAAUGCGUAGAUCUCGAGAGGAACACCGGUUGCGAAGGCGGCUUCUUGGCUUGAUCCUGACACUAAAGCGCGAAAGCGUGGGGAGCAAACAGG
rnacentral:rRNA from 1 species